AUUUCUUCUUGGCCUUUUGGCUAAGAAUAAGUGCAAUAUCGGUUCUUAUCAGUUUAAUAUCUGAUAUGUCUUCUAUCCAAGAACAAUAUAUUAAAUGGAUUUUUGGAGCCGGGAGUUGGAAUAGUUGCUCUGUCCACUCCACACAUUGACUUGAUAUUGUAGUACUUCCAGGAACGGUGCACACACA